AUGAAUCUCUAUGGUGCCGUGGUUGGAGCAGGUGCAGAGGAGGAAUUUUCUAGAUCCUCGAGCGCUCACACGGAGGGUGGAAAUGGCGUGCUGUUAGUGAGUAGCAGUCGGUACCCAGACCAGUGGAUUGUCCCAGGAGGAGGAACGGAGCCCGAGGAGGAGCCUGGCGGGGCUGCCGUGAGGGAAGUUUAUGAGGAGGCUGGAGUUAAAGGAAAAUUAGGAAGACUCCUGUGCAUAUUUGAGAACCAAGACCGAAAGCACAGAACAUACGUGUAUGUUCUUACAGUCACUGAAAUAUUAGAAGAUUGGGAAGAUUCUGUUAAUAUCGGAAGGAAGAGAGAAUGGUUCAAAGUAGAAGACGCAAUCAAAAUUCUCCAGUGUCACAGACCUGUACAUGCAGAGAAUCUGGAAAAGCUAAAGCUGGGCUGUUCCCCAACCAAUGGCAAUUCCAUGGUCCCUUCCCUUCCAGAUAGCAAUGCCUUGUUUGUAACUGCUGCACAGACCUCGGGGUUGCCAUCCAGCAUAAGAUAGAAAGAACCGGGAAGACGUCUCCCACGUGCAGUCUCAUGGGGAGAGGCUUCUUUGUUUUCUUCUGCGAACAUCUGAAUGACGCUUGCAAACUGUCUGAAUUUGCCAUGCAAGGUUUUCAAACAAUUUGCAUGUUUUUCAGAUGAUUUCAAAUCUUCUUUUAAAAAAUAGUGUAAAAUAUUUUAAUAAGCCAAAGCCACGUGGAAUUUUUUUUUAGAUGCCUUAACUGAGCCCCCCUCCCCCCCCCACUGUUAUUUUGGUUGUUUUUUUCACAGCAUUUUAUCAGUUUUUUUGUCUUUUUGAUAUCGGCCUGGUUUGUCAGAUCAAAUUAUUUGUA